GAUGAACGCUAGCGGGAGGCUUAACACAUGCAAGUCGAGGGGCAGCAUAGGGUAGCAAUACUCUGAUGGCGACCGGCAAACGGGUGAGUAACGCGUAUGCAACCUACCCUGUACAGGGGGAUAACCCGGAGAAAUUCGGACUAAUAUCCCGUAAUAAUAUCCGGAGGCAUCUUUGGAUAUUUAAAGUUCCGACGGUACGGGAUGGGCAUGCGUAACAUUAGCUGGUUGGUAAGGUAACGGCUUACCAAGGCUAUGAUGUUUAGGGGUCCUGGGAGGGUGGUCCCCCACACUGGUACUGAGACACGGACCAGACUCCUACGGGAGGCAGCAGUGAGGAAUAUUGGUCAAUGGGCGCAAGCCUGAACCAGCCAUCCCGCGUGCAGGAAGACGGCCCUAUGGGUUGUAAACUGCUUUUCCAGGGAGAGAAACUUACGCACGUGUUGCGUGACUGACGGUACCCUGGGAAUAAGCAUCGGCUAACUCCGUG
rnacentral:rRNA from 1 species